UACAGGGGGGGCAAGCGUUGUUCGGAAUUACUGGGCGUAAAGGGCUCGUAGGCGGCCAACUAAGUCACACGUGAAAUCCCCAGGCUUAACCUGGGAACUGCGUGUGAUACUGGAUGGCUUGAAUCCGGGAGAGGGAUGCGGAAUUCCAGGUGUAGCGGUGAAAUGCGUAGAUAUCGGGAGGAACACCAGUGGCGAAGGCGACUUUCUGGCCUGUUCUUGACGCUGAGGCGCGAAAGCUAGGGGAGCAAGCGGG
rnacentral:rRNA from 1 species